rnacentral:rRNA from 1 species
GACGAACGCUGGCGGCGUGCCUAACACAUGCAAGUCAGGGAGAACGAGGUAGCAAUAUCUCUAGUACACCGGCGCACGGGUGAGUAACGCGUAGGCAACCUGCCCUUAGGACGGGGACAACCUCGAGAAAUCGGGGCUAAUACCCGAUGAUGCAGCGGCACCGCAUGGUGACAGUUGUUAAAAGCCGAAAGGCGCCUAUGGAUGGGCCUGCGUCCCAUUAGGUAGUUGGCGGGGUAACGGCCCACCAAGCCUACGAUGGGUAGCUGGUCUGAGAGGAUGAUCAGCCACACUGGAACUGAGACACGGUCCAGACUCCUACGGGAGGCAGCAGUGAGGAAUAUUGCGCAAUGGCCGAAAGGCUGACGCAGCGACGCCGCGUGAGGGAUGAAGUCCGUUAGGAUGUAAACCUCUU